AUGCGGACAAAAGCCGCUUUGUGGAGGCUGCGAGUCUCUCGACGGCGCCACCGUGUGGCAGCGCCGGGCAGCGGCAGCGGCGGCCGGGGCGGAUCCCAGGGCUGUCCCGCGCCCACCAGGACCUUCUCCGACCAUCUGAGACAAAGGAAAUUCUUUUCAUACACAGCUGUGGACUCGGUAUGUCUGUGGGAGGAAGUGAAUUCAGGAUCUUCCUAUGUCGCCAUCUUAAACUGGAACCAUCAAGAUUAUUUGAGCGCAUGCGCGAACGCAAUUCCCUCUUUUCCGGUUACUGCGGCGCGAAGAACCUUGAGCAGCAAAGUCUCCCGCGACACCCUGUACGAGGCGGUGCGGGAAGUCCUGCACGGGAACCAGCGCAAGCGCCGGAAGUUUUUGGAGACGGUGGAGCUGCAGAUCAGUCUGAAGAACUAUGACCCUCGGAAGGACAAACGCUUCUCGGGCACCGUCAGGCUUAAGUCCACUCCCCGCCCCAAGUUCUCCGUAUGUGUUUUGGGGGAUCAGCAGCACUGUGAUGAGGCCAAGGCAGUGGGUAUUCCCCACAUGGAUAUUGAGGCGCUGAAGAAACUCAACAAGAAUAAGAAAUUAGUUAAGAAGUUGGCCAAGAAGUAUGACGCCUUUUUGGCCUCAGAAUCUCUGAUCAAGCAGAUUCCACGAAUCCUGGGCCCAGGCCUGAAUAAGGCUGGCAAGUUCCCUUCCUUGCUGACCCACAAUGAAAACAUGGUGGCCAAAGUGGAUGAAGUUAAGUCCACCAUCAAAUUCCAGAUGAAGAAGGUGCUGUGUCUGGCAGUGGCUGUUGGCCAUGUGAAGAUGACAGAUGAUGAGCUUGUGUACAACAUCCACUUAGCAGUCAAUUUCCUGGUGUCCUUGCUCAAGAAGAAUUGGCAGAACGUCCGGGCUUUAUACAUCAAGAGCACCAUGGGCAAGCCCCAGAGCCUGUACUAAGAACACAUUUCAAAAAACCCCAUGGCUCCCCUU